rnacentral:tRNA from 1 species
CAAGGAAUAGUUUAUUUAAAAUAUUAAUUUUGGAGAUUAAUGAAAAAGAGCUUCUUUUUUCUUGA